GAUGAACGCUGGCGGCGUGCCUAAUACAUGCAAGUCGAGCGAACAGACGAGGAGCUUGCUCCUCUGACGUUAGCGACGGACGGGUGAGUAACACGUGGAUAACCUACCUAUAAGACUGGGAUAACUUCGGGAAACCGGAGCUAAUACCGGAUAAUAUAUUGAACCGCAUGGUUCAAUAGUGAAAGACGGUUUUGCUGUCACUUAUAGAUGGAUCCGCGCCGCAUUAGCUAGUUGGUAAGGUAACGGCUUACCAAGGCAACGAUGCGUAGCCGACCUGAGAGGGUGAUCGGCCACACUGGAACUGAGACACGGUCCAGACUCCUACGGGAGGCAGCAGUAGGGAAUCUUGCGCAAUGGGCGAAAGCCUGACGGAGCAACGCCGCGUGAGUGAUGAAGGUCUUCGGAUCGUAAAACUCUGUUAUUAGGGAAGAAAAAAUGUGUAAGUAACUAUGCACGUCUUGACGGUACCUAAUCAGAAAGCCACGGCUAACUACGUG
rnacentral:rRNA from 1 species